UGGGAGGAGGAGGAGAAGGAGGAGGAGGAGGUGAAGGAGGCUGCUGUCGACUCAACGUGUUUCACGACGCCUCACACGACUGUCCUGCAACACGGCAGCUCAUCUCUGCAGACAAGGGAGGUGGUCACGGCGGGCGUCAGUGCGUCCGGGGAAGGAGAUGACCGGCACCUUAUCGAGCCCCAGUUGGCCCAGGUGGUAGGUGAGCUGCGCCUCCACUGCGGGGACGCGGGACAGAAGCGUGAAGAUACAAGCUACAAGAUACAAGAUACAAGAUAAAAGCCUUCCCGAACUCUUCAGGCCUCGCGGGAUAACGAGAUAAAAGUGACGAGAAUAAUUAAAAUGCAACGUAACGCCUCGACCCUGCUUAUACGUUGUCUGUUUCCAGGAGGCGACGAGAAGCGAUGACGAAGAGGGACGUGUACAGCGAAGGAUACAACGAUUACGAAGAGGAUUCCAGAGUUUUUCUUUGUCUUUUUUAUAUUACCGGGAUCGUCUUUCUUUUUGUAUAACUAUUUCUCUUUGUUUAUGUCUUUCUUUUACUUUAUUUCUUAACAUUACUCUUAGGUAUUCACAGCGAGGGAAGUUCAAUUAUUGGGGUAAAAAAAUAAAGUACAAUAUCUAACUCUGAUUCCCCAUAACCCCAAUACCCGCUGUCUGACCUUGAUGUAUGUAAUGACCCCUCACAACCUUAACUUUACUUUCAGAGACGUUCACAGCGAGGGACAUUCAAUUUCUGGAGUAAAAGAGAAUAAUAAA